rnacentral:rRNA from 1 species
GAUGAACGCUGGCGGCGUGCCUAAUACAUGCAAGUCGAGCGAACAGACGAGGAGCUUGCUCCUCUGACGUUAGCGGCGGACGGGUGAGUAACACGUGGAUAACCUACCUAUAAGACUGGGAUAACUUCGGGAAACCGGAGCUAAUACCGGAUAAUAUAUUGAACCGCAUGGUUCAAUAGUGAAAGACGGUUUUGCUGUCACUUAUAGAUGGAUCCGCGCCGCAUUAGCUAGUUGGUAAGGUAACGGCUUACCAAGGCAACGAUGCGUAGCCGACCUGAGAGGGUGAUCGGCCACACUGCAACUGAGACACGGUCCAGACUCCUACGGAAGGCAGCAGUAGGGAAUCUUCCGCAAUGGCCGCAAGCCUGACGGAGCAACACCGCGUGAGUGAUGAAGGUCUUCGGAUCGUAAAACUCUGUUAUUAGGGAAGAACAAAUGUGUAAGUAACUAUGCACGUCUUGACGGUACCUAAUCAGAAAGCCACGGCUAACUACGUG